rnacentral:rRNA from 1 species
GUGAGGAAUUUUCCGCAAUGGGCGAAAGCCUGACGGAGCAAUGCCGCGUGAAGGAUGAAGGCCUAUGGGUUGUAAACUUCUUUUCUCAGAAAAGAAUUAUGACGGUAUCUGAGGAAUAAGCAUCGGCUAACUCUGUGCCAGCAGCCGCGGUAAGACAGAGGAUGCAAGCGUUAUCCGGAAUGAUUGGGCGUAAAGCGUCUGUAGGUUGUUUAAAAAGUAUUCUGUCAAAGAUUAGGGCUUAACCCUAGAUAGGCAGAAUAAACUUUUAAGAUAGAGUUUGGUAGAGGCAGAGGGAAUUCCCGGUGGAGCGGUGAAAUGCGUAGAUAUCGGGAGGAACACCAAAGGCGAAGGCACUCUGCUGGGCCAAUACUAACACUGAGAGACGAAAGCGAGGGGAGCAAAUGGGAUUAGAUACCCGGGUAGUCC